GUGGAGAGAGAGAGAAGCCCUCCUGAGGCUGUCAGUUUGCAGAGUGGGCCUGAUGCCCAGAGCUGCAGCCCACUAAUACAACAGCAUAAGAACAGAAAACAUGAAAACCUUCACUUAUCAGUGACACCAAAAUUCAUCUUUGAGAAAUGCCAGGAAAAUAAGGCUUGAGGUGAAUAAAUGGCUGCAGUCACAGUACCCGCUACUACUUUCCUCAGCAGUUUGGUUUUACUUUAUUCUACCAGCUAUAACCAGUGCCUCUAAUAAAGCAAGCAUAAGCUGCUAAAAAAUAA